CAUACGGGAGGGAGAACGCGGCGUUUUGAAGACUUUUUGGUUAUUUAAUCGGAUGAUGUAGUGGACCCUUGAAGUAGAGAAAGGACUUGCCCACAUCGAGUUUUCCAAUGCCGGAAGCAACCAUUUGUUUUCAAAGCCUUUGGAUGCUUGGGAGAGGUUCGGGAAGGUGAAGGUUCAUGGGUUUGAUGUGUGUGUGUGUGACUCGCUCAUUGACAUGGUUGAGAGUUUCAAGCAGGUGUUUGAUGAAAUGUCUGAGAGAAACAUGCUUUGUUGGAACAUUACGAUCUCGAGGUAUCUUAGGUGCAGGAGGUUUGAGGAGGCUUUGGAUGUGUUUCGGGGGAUGCGAUGUGAGAGCAACGAGAAGCCUGAUGAAGCUACGGCUGUAAGCACCAUUUCGGCUUGCACAGCGCUGAAAAAUUUGGGGGUUGGUAAAAAAAAUCAUGAAUAUGUUAGAAGUGAACUUGGAUUCACUGCUAGAACUGGAAAUGCAUAAAUGUGGUUGUUUGAAUGAAGGCCGGAGAAUUUUUUAUGAAAUGCCGGUGAAAAACAUGUUCUGUUGUACUUGUGUGGUAUCUGGCUCUGUAAAUUGUGUAGGUUUGGUGAGGCAAGAGAAGUGUUUUAUGGGUAUGUAUGUACAAUUCAAUUAUACUACCAUUUUAACGAGGCGGGCGGCUCUAUUCCAAGAGAUGCAAACUAAAAUGUUAGGGGAUAAAUUUACAGCGGUUGCUCUUCACAGGCUGUGCUCGGUUGGGAGCAUUAGAGCAAGAGGAAUGGAUUCGCAGGUAUAUCGAAUAUAACAGAAUUAAAACUGAUGCAGUUGUUGGUACCGUGGUUAUAGAAAUGUAUGCAAAAUGUGGGAGCACGGACAAGUCUUUGGACUUCAAUCAUUUGUGGGCUUGCAAGGAAUGGCAAGACAAGCAAAGCAAUCGAGUUCUUCUUGAAAAUGGUACAGAUUGACAUGAAGCCUGAUGAUUUCACCUUCAUUGUUGUCUUAAGUGCUUGUGUUCACAGAGGGUUGGUAGAUGAGGGUCGUGAGUUCUUCAACUCCAUGAGAAAGAUAUAUGAGAGAUUGCACCGAAGUUAUAGCACUAUGGUUGCCAGAUCGACCUUAUUGGCCAUGUUGGACUGUUAGAAGAAGCAGAGGAGCUGAUAGAAAGGAUUCCAAGUGAGAUUAUAGUCCUGAUUUCUAUAUGUUUACAUCCAUCGUCAGUAACUGCACAUUUCAAUCUAAAAUUUUGGUUUAGAACCAAAAAAGUCGAAGUAUGAUGCUAAUAAUUUGGUUCCACAAGAGAAUAUGAAUAUUUGUAAAGCAUAGAACAAUUAACAAGUGAACAACUAGUCAAUAUUGCAAAUGAAAUGUCUGUAAAACGAGGAACAAAUCGUAAUCAAAUGUCCGACUAAUGGAGCUGGGAAAAUGAGAAAGACGCUGACGUGGUCUGCGGGAGAGUAUAAUGCAGGAAUAGCAACUAUUCAACCGAUCUGGCAAUGCUCUCUCUUCAAACCCUUUGCCUUUUCCGUUUGGGUUCAUCUGUAGUAGUCGUCAUUUGAUUAGUGGGAUGAUGAUCAGAUGCGUCAUGGCUUGGUCCUGCACUUGACUCAUCAUACAAUCAAUCUGGAUGUGGUUCAGAUUCAUAUCUAUACACCCCA